rnacentral:lncRNA from 1 species
CCAUCAGAGUGCGAGCAGAAGGUGAACUUGGGGUUCCACGUCUUCUUGAAGGCAUUUUUGCUGUCAGAUCACAGCUGAGGUUGUUGUCGUUGGUGACGGUGAGAUCUGCCGAGUCCCCCAGGCUCACCUCCCCGCCCCCGAUAGUGUCCAUGAUGAAAACGUCUUAGUGGGGCCGGGGCUGGGCUUAGGUACGAGGUGGGGCCGUCACUUUGGGCGGCAGCCCAUCUAUGUCCUGAAGGUCGGCCAGAAUUCCCUGGAGUUUGACCCGACGGCUCUCCAGCUCGUGGGGGGGUCCCCUCACUGGUACACCGCCGGGGGCCCGGAGACCCCUCCCCGUCCUCCCCCGAGCCCAGGAGAUCAAACUCGUUGAUGGCAUCCUCUGAGUCGUCCUCCUCAUCCUCAUCCUCCAUCUCAGGCACCAAGGCCUUGGAAGGGAGCUUCACACGCUGCUCCUUGUGCUGCACACUGUCCAGCUCGUCGUCCUCAUCGCUGUCCUCAUCCUCGCAGGUCUGCAGGAAGGGGAUCUGCUCCAGCACCGAGCUACCCAGACGCUCUUUGCCAUCUUUGCCUGCUGCAUUCCUCUUGAUCUGCUCCUCAGUCCGCUUCACCAGCAGGGACUCGCCGCCACUGAGGCCCCCAGGACUAGGUGCCCCCCGGGGGGCCCUCUCGCUGAACUCAGUAGCCCCGUUGAGCUCUAGGGAGCGUCCAAGCAGGGAGCGCACACGCUUGGACCGCAUGUCAAGGAUGGUGUCCGUGUAGCCCACCUCUUCCAGGUACCUGGAGAGGGAAGGGCCAGGUGGGUCAGAUGCCCCUGAACUUCUUCACAGACUGCAGGGCACAGACUGCAACCACCUGCCAAGGGGUCACACAAAAGCAGAUGCCAGUCUUCUCUAAGCACACCCUGUACACAGCAGGGCCACUUUCAAGACUGUUGCCAAUGGAAGCCCUGGUUCACAAAUCACUACUACUCAAAGUGUCCCCAACAGACUGCAGGGGAAAGCCCAAGUACGGGGAGCUGGCCUCAACAUCCAAGGACAGGGCUGUGACAGCAAAUUACUGAUAGGAACACCACCCAAAAGUAACCACAGCAGAGGGCCAUUAGAUGGCUAUGCUAAACACUGUGAAAAUGGUAAGUUCCAUGGGAUUCCAGUUUUCAUGAAAAAAAAAAAAAAAAAAAGAAAAAGAAAAACCAAAA